GUUAUAGGCCAUACCACCCUGAACGCACCCGAUCCUCUGACUUUGGAAGCUAAUCAGGGUCGGGCCUGGUUAGUACUUGGAUGGGAGACAUUGGUAGUGUUAUGCCAUUUAAAAAA
ensembl:rRNA 5S_rRNA 5S ribosomal RNA